CGCUGGCGGCGUGCCUAAUACAUGCAAGUCGAACGGUCUUUCUAUGGAAGCUUGCUUCCACUGAGAAGAUAGUGGCGAACGGGUGAGUAACACGUGGGUAACCUGCCCAUAAGAGGGGGGAUAACAUCCGGAAACGGGUGCUAAUACCGCAUAGUUUUCUUGAUCGCAUGAUUGGGAAAGGAAAGACGGCCUUUGUGCUGUCGCUUAUGGAUGGACCCGCGGCGUAUUAGUUAGUUGGUGAGGUAACGGCUCACCAAGACGAUGAUACGUAGCCGACCUGAGAGGGUGAUCGGCCACAUUGGGACUGAGACACGGCCCAAACUCCUACGGGAGGCAGCAGUAGGGAAUCUUCCGCAAUGGACGAAAGUCUGACGGAGCAACGCCGCGUGAGUGAAAGAAGGUUUUCGGAUCGUAAAACUCUGUUGUCAGAGAAGAACAAGUUGGAGAGUAACUGCUCCAGCCUUGACGGUAUCUGACCAGAAAGCCACGGCUAACUACGUGCCAGCCGCCGC
rnacentral:rRNA from 1 species